GAAUAAACGUGUUAGGCCUCUAUACAAGCUAUAUCUUUUCAUCAGCAGAUACCAAUCACAUUAUUCGGGGCCCUUCUCGUGGAUAGGUGUGGAAGGAGAACCCUUCUACUGGUGUCUUCAUCUGGCACAUUUGUGGGCUGCUUUCUUACUGGGCUAUCAUUCUACUUUAAGG